ACACACAAAGAUUUAUUUUAUUAUUAUUGUAUUUUAUACCCAGACGCAGUUGGUGUUUGGAUAUUAUAUUGAUACCAGUAAUGAUUCACUUCAUAAGCAAUUUUUUCUAAUAAAACAGGUGUCACAAAAGUUUCAAAGAUAUCUAAAAUAGUUUCCUAUUAGGAAUAGAUUUCUUGGAGAGUUUGAGUUUUACUUUACAAAUACCAUUCUGACAAAAAUAAAUAUA